AUUGAACGCUGGCGGCAGGCCUAACACAUGCAAGUCGAGCGGAUGAAGGGAGCUUGCUCCUGGAUUCAGCGGCGGACGGGUGAGUAAUGCCUAGGAAUCUGCCUGGUAGUGGGGGAUAACGUCCGGAAACGGGCGCUAAUACCGCAUACGUCCUGAGGGAGAAAGUGGGGGAUCUUCGGACCUCACGCUAUCAGAUGAGCCUAGGUCGGAUUAGCUAGUUGGUGGGGUAAAGGCCUACCAAGGCGACGAUCCGUAACUGGUCUGAGAGGAUGAUCAGUCACACUGGAACUGAGACACGGUCCAGACGCCUACGGGAGGCAGCAGUGGGGAAUAUUGGACAAUGGGCGAAAGCCUGAUCCAGCCAUGCCGCGUGUGUGAAGAAGGUCUUCGGAUUGUAAAGCACUUUAAGUUGGGAGGAAGGGCAGUAAGUUAAUACCUUGCUGUUUUGACGGUACCAACAGAAUAAGCACCGGCUAACUUCGUG
rnacentral:rRNA from 1 species